CCCCCCAGUUUAUGAUAUAUUUGUUGUAGCAGCCUGAAUGGAGUAAGACAAACACCAAGUUAUUUAUUAUUAACACAAAAAGUAGAAGAAGAAUGAGGAGAAGGAAGAAGAGAUUGAGUCAAGCAGCAAAUAGAAAAUAGACCACAAGAUUUGGCCAUUAGAGUUAAGUCACCAGACUUUGGGCUAAGUGUUAUGGGUAUGGAGAUGAAAGCCCUGUGUCUGUGGUUGAGCAUCUGAAUUCUGAGGCAGUGAAUCCUACGGGGUAACUGAAAACCCACUGGACUCGCUAUAGGUAGUUUUCUUUUUAGAGGUGGGGUGGGUGUGGUAGAUAAAAGAUGGCUGCAAAGUUUUUGCUCCUCCUCCUACUGAGAGGUGGAAUUUAAUUCAUCCCCCCUUAAAUGUGGUUUGGCCUUAGUGACUUCCUUCACCAAUAGAAGGCAAUGGAAGUGAUGUUCUGGAACUUUCAAGCUUAGAUCAUAAGAAACCUGACUUUCUACCUGGCCUCUUAGAAUAUUCUCUGAAGGAGCCCUGAGCAGCUGAGUAAGAAGUUCAACUAUCCUGAGACCCUAUGCCAGAGGGGUCUCACGUAGGUGCUCCAGUCAACAGUCCCGGCUGAGCCUAGCCUUCCAGCCAUUCACGCCACAGCAACAGACAUGCAAGAGAAGCCAUCUUGGACCCCCUAGCCCAGCUCAUCCGGUAAUUACUAAAUGACCUGUACGGACAACACGAGGAAUGGAAGAAUCACCAGCCACAGCCUUUGUGAAUUCCUGACCCACAUAAUUGGGAAAUAUAACAAAAUGUUUGCUGUUUUAAGCCAUUGCGUUUUCGGUUAGCUUUUUGUGCAGCAAUAGACAACUGGAACAGUGGUGUGUGUCUGUUUUUCCAUGAGCUGUUCUGUAUUUGGGUACAAAAGUAUCUGGACUUUCUUUCUUCGUGAGUUUCCUUUUGGCAUCUAUAGGAAUCACGGAAGGCCUCUGGGAGCUUCCGAAUACGAAUGUGCAGCUCUUUGUGUGAAUAACAAAGAAUUACUAAAGGAAGCAUUCAAUAGGUAAUAUUUACAACCAGGCUAAUUUUCUUAAAGGAACUGCUGCAAGAAUUCUUUUUUGCAACUCUAUUCUCCUGGCUAUUUAUCUUUACAGAGCUUGUCACACAUCUUGAAUUUUUGUUCACCUUAAUUCCAUUACUAAGACCUCCUUCUGGUCUUUCAAAUUCUCUAUGAAAUUCUAGCUUAAGGCGCAAGAGGUAUUGAAUUUUUAUCCACAGCUACCUAUCUCUGAGGGGGGCACAUUUAUUCGGGAUGUUCAAUAUGCCCCAAGUUGAGCUCUAAGAUGGUGCGUACGCACUGUUUUUAAAAAUGAAAUGAUUCAGAGCUAAUAUAA
rnacentral:lncRNA from 1 species